AUACGGAGGGUGCAAGCGUUACUCGGAAUCACUGGGCGUAAAGCGCGCGCAGGCGGCCAUUUAAGUUGGAUGUGAAAGCCUACGGCUCAACCGUAGAACUGCAUCCAAAACUAUUUGGCUAGAGUGUGGGAGAGGAAGAUGGAAUUAGUUGUGUAGGGGUAAAAUCCGUAGAGAUAACUAGGAAUACCAAAAGCGAAGGCAAUCUUCUGGAACACUACUGACGCUGAGGCGCGAAAGCGUGGGGAGCAAACGGGAUUAGAAACCCUAGUAGUCC
rnacentral:rRNA from 1 species